UGUAUCGAUAAAUAAUUGAAACCAUUGCAAAAAACAAGUUAAAUUCAUGCUAUCUACAACAUUCAUAUUCAAAUCUUCAUAACUUAAAUCAUUUAGCAAGAUACAGUAACUGAAGUAUACAUGUAUCCAGGCCAAUAAGGAGAUUAUUCUGUUUGGAAAAACAUCUGAAAAAACUGUUCCUACUAACAUAAUUGUUUAUCCGUCUGCAAAGAAGAGAUUCCAGAUAAAUUAGUAUAAUAGUGACUAACAUGGACUACUCAAAAAAGAUGUGUUGUUCGCAUACAAACUAAUCGCUAUCCAGCAAGUUGUCA